GUUCUCCCCGAAAGCUAUUUAGGUAGCGCCUCGUGAAUUCAUCUCCGGGGGUAGAGCACUGUUUCGGCUAGGGGGCCAUCCCGGCUUACCAACCCGAUGCAAACUGCGAAUACCGGAGAAUGUUAUCACGGGAGACACACGGCGGGUGCUAACGUCCGUCGUGAAGAGGGAAACAACCCAGACCGCCAGCUAAGGUCCCAAAGUCAUGGUUAAGUGGGAAACGAUGUGGGAAGGCCCAGACAGCCAGGAUGUUGGCUUAGAAGCAGCCAUCAUUUAAAGAAAGCGUAAUAGCUCACUGGUCGAGUCGGCCUGCGCGGAAGAUGUAACGGGGCUAAACCAUGCACCGAAGCUGCGGCAGCGAACGUAUCACCCAAGACAACUUUACGGAGUUGACGAUUGACGGAGCGAAGCGACGUCAAAGCGUUCAUUAAAGUCGAGUUGGCUUAGGGAUACGUUCGUUGGGUAGGGGAGCGUUCUGUAAGCCUGUGAAGGUGUGUCGUGAGGCAUGCUGGAGGUAUCAGAAGUGCGAAUGCUGACAUAAGUAACGAUAAAGCGGGUGAAAAGCCCGCUCGCCGGAAGACCAAGGGUUCCUGUCCAACGUUAAUCGGGGCAGGGUGAGUCGACCCCUAAGGCGAGGCCGAAAGGCGUAGUCGAUGGGAAACGGGUUAAUAUUCCCGUACUUGGUGUUACUGCGAAGGGGGGACGGAGAAGGCUAUGUUGGCCGGGCGACGGUUGUCCCGGUUUAAG
rnacentral:rRNA from 1 species